rnacentral:rRNA from 1 species
UACGGGGGGGGCAAGCGUUGUUCGGAAUUACUGGGCGUAAAGGGCUCGUAGGCGGCCAACUAAGUCGGACGUGAAAUCCCUCGGCUUAACCGGGGAACUGCGUCCGAUACUGGAUGGCUUGAGUUUGGGAGAGGGAUGAGGAAUUCCAGGUGUAGCGGUGAAAUGCGUAGAUAUCUGGAGGAACACCGGUGGCGAAGGCGGCAUCCUGGGCCAAUUACUGACGCUGAGUGAGCGAAAGCCAGGGGAGCAAACGGG